rnacentral:snRNA from 1 species
GUGCUCGCUUCAGCAGCACAUAUACUAAAAUUGGAACGAUACAGAGAAGAUUAGCAUGGCCCAUGCACAAGGAUGACACACAAAUUCAUGAAGUGUUCCAUAUUUUU